AUCGCGAGUCCCAAACAGGACGAAACGCGCGUUCUGGAU
rnacentral:hammerhead_ribozyme from 1 species